rnacentral:rRNA from 1 species
GCAUAUCAAUAAGCGGAGGAAAAGAAACCAACAGGGAUUGCCCUAGUAACGGCGAGUGAAGCGGCAACAGCUCAAAUUUGAAAUCUGGCCCCAGGCCCGAGUUGUAAUUUGUAGAGGAUGUUUCUGGCGACGUGUCUUCCGAGUUCCCUGGAACGGGACGCCAUAGAGGGUGAGAGCCCCGUACGGUUGACUGCCUAGCCUCUGUGAAACUCCUUCGACGAGUCGAGUAGUUUGGGAAUGCUGCUCUAAAUGGGAGGUAUACGUCUUCUAAAGCUAAAUACCGGCCAGAGACCGAUAGCGCACAAGUAGAGUGAUCGAAAGAUGAAAAGCACUUUGAAAAGAGGGUUAAAUAGUACGUGAAAUUGUUGAAAGGGAAGCGUUUAUGACCAGACUUGGGCAGGUUGAUCAUCCGUCGUUCUCGGCGGUGCACUCUGCCUGCCCAGGCCAGCAUCAGUUCGCUCCGGGGGACAAAGGCUUCGGGAAUGUGGCUCCCUCGGGAGUGUUAUAGACCGUUGCGUAAUACCCUGGGGCGGACUGAGGUUCGCGCUCUGCAAGGAUGCUGGCGUAAUGGUCAUCAGCGACCCGUCUUGAAACACGGACCAAGGAGUCGUCUUCGUAUGCGAGUGUUCGGGUGUCAAACCCCUACGCGUAAUGAAAGUGAACGUAGGUGAGAGCUUCGGCGCAUCACCGACCGAUCCUGAUGUUCUCGGAUGGAUUUGAGUAAGAGCAUACGGGGCCGGACCCGAAAGAAGGUGAACUAUGCCUGUAUAGGGUGAAGCCAGAGGAAACUCUGGUGGAGGCUCGCAGCGGUUCUGACGUGCAAAUCGAUCGUCAAAUAUGGGCAUGGGGGCGAAAGACUAAUCGAACCUUCUAGUAGCUGGUUUCCGCCGA